AUCCAGAUGACGAGUCCAAAAUAUGACGAAAUAGGUAUCCUGGAU
rfam:Trichobilharzia regenti genome assembly, scaffold: TRE_scaffold0001683